UACAGAGGGGGCGAGCGUUGCUCGGAAUUACUGGGCGUAAAGGGCGCGUAGGCGGCCCGCUAAGUCGAACGUGAAAUCCCUGGGCUCAACCCAGGAACUGCGUCCGAUACUGGCAGGCUUGAAUCCGGGAGAGGGAUGCGGAAUUCCAGGUGUAGCGGUGAAAUGCGUAGAUAUCUGGAGGAACACCGGUGGCGAAGGCGGCAUCCUGGACCGGCAUUGACGCUGAGGCGCGAAAGCCAGGGGAGCAAACGGG
rnacentral:rRNA from 1 species